CAUCUUCUUCUCACUUUUCUGGAGAUGAACGGCUUCGGGUACUGUCAAUGCAUGCAUGGCUUCUUUCAAGUUUUUUUUUUACCCUAUGUGCAACUGCAAGAAAGAAGCCCAUUCUUCUUCUUCUGCUUCUUCUUCUAGGUUUGUGCGAGUAGCUUGGAUGGGUUCUUUCAUGAUUGUGAUUUUGGUUUGUCUGCAAUAGAACCCUGCCAAGUUAUUCAAAGCUCAGAUGAACCUUACAGAGCAUGCUCGUGAUGAGAAAAACUAUAUCUCCCGAGAGUAAGAGAGUUUUUCUAAACUCAUUCUACUAAAGAAAGAUUAUGUUGGACAAAAUUAAAAACAUGUCCCCACAUUUUAGUAUGAUGCAUAGUUGUAUUAGACUCUACGUCAUUUUUUCCACUGUCAAUGCCUAUCACUUGAGGGCUUGAAGCCACCCUGUCCCUGGGUGAGCGAGACUGAAUGUCACGUUCGGGGAGGGAGAUAGGUCAGAAAGUUUCAACCAGCAUUAGUGGUUUUAUCAUGUAACCUCGCAUCUUCUUUGACCACAUUGAUCUAACUCAAUUAGUUUUGGAGAUCCGAUCUGUAGAUGGCAACAAGAGCAUCGAUACCAGCUACGAAUUGCUUGUGCAGCGAUCAGCGAGUGAUCAUCUUGGGUUAAGCAUUAUACAAAGGUCAGACAGAAGCUCAAGGGUCGAAUUUAUAUACUGCCGGCCUCGCUUUAUAAUGUACACGAGAAGUUGGCCAACAACCUCCAUCGUCUAAGAUGAAUAUCCUACAAUCAGUAUAUACCACUGAGCAGUGAAAGUCUAUUAUUACCAUGUCACUUCCAGAGUUCAAUUGGAGAGUUGGAGGCAGGCAAGGACGACGAGCAUCCUCUUGGCUCAGCUGAGAAGCAACGAACUUGUCGAGAACUCGCCAAUCCGUUAAUUGAUCUGCCAGCUGGGCACUGCUAUUGUCUGUCUUCUGUAUGUGUUCUUCUUCAGUGAUGGCCGGUGAUGACUGCAUAGCGCUAAUUGCAUGGUUCAUGUGUAGGUCAACCAAUGGUGCAACUGAUGAAUUGAGCAUUUUCGGGAUCUCUAGGAGUGGCAGUUGAAGGAAA